rnacentral:rRNA from 1 species
UACGUAGGCAGCGAGCGUUGUUCGGAAUUACUGGGCGUAAAGAGUGUGUAGGCGGUGCUCUAAAGUUCGGUGUGAAAUCUCCUGGCUCAACUGGGAGGGUGCGCCGGAAACUGGAGUGCUUGAGCGUGGGAGAGGAAAGCGGAAUUCCUGGUGUAGCGGUGAAAUGCGUAGAUAUCAGGAGGAACACCUGUGGUGUAGACGGCUUUCUGGACCAUAGCUGACGCUGAGACACGAAAGCGUGGGUAGCAAACAGG